rnacentral:rRNA from 1 species
UKGGGGAGUUUUUGGUCGUAGGCGUGGUCGGGCUUGAUUAUAUUWUUUUUCAUCCCGUUCCUCGUCUCGCCAAUGAAUAUAUUAAAUUUACGUGCAUAUUCUUUUUGGUSUUCGUCUUUUUASGGCGAGGACCUUUAACGGGAAUAUCCUCAGCWCKUUAUYUGACUUMUUCACGCGAAAGCUUUGAGGUUACAGUYUCAGGGGGGAGUACSUUCGCAAGAGUGAAACUUAAAGAAAUUGACGGAAUGGCACCACAAKACGUGGAGCKUGSGGUUUAAUUKGACUCAACACGGGGAACUUUACCAGAUCCGRACAGGGUGAGGAUUGACAGAUUGAGUGUUCUUUCUCGAUCCCCKGAAUGGUGGUGCAUGSCCGCUUUUGGUCGGUGGAGUGAUUUGUUUGGUUGAUUCCGUCAACGGACGAGAUCCAAGCUGCCCAGUAGGAUUCAGAAUUGCCCAUAGGAUAGCAAUCCCUUCCGCGGGUUUUACCCAAGGGGGGG